rnacentral:rRNA from 1 species
UUGAACGCUGGCGGGAUGCUUUACACAUGCAAGUCGAGCGGCAGCGCGGGGGCAACCCUGGCGGCGAGCGGCGAACGGGUGAGUAACAUAUCGGAACGUACCCAGUAGUGGGGGAUAACUAUCCGAAAGGAUAGCUAAUACCGCAUACGCCCUGAGGGGGAAAGUGGGGGAUCGCAAGACCUCACGUUAUUGGAGCGGCCGAUAUCGGAUUAGCUGGUUGGUGGGGUAAAGGCCUACCAAGGCGACGAUCCGUAGCUGGUCUGAGAGGAUGAUCAGCCACACUGGGACUGAGACACGGCCCAGACUCCUACGGGAGGCAGCAGUGGGGAAUUUUGGACAAUGGGCGCAAGCCUGAUCCAGCCAUGCCGCGUGAGUGAAGAAGGCCUUCGGGUUGUAAAGCUCUUUCAGACGGAAAGAAAUCGGGCGGGUGAAUAGCCUGCCUGGAUGACGGUACUGUCAGAAGAAGCACCGGCUAACUACGU